rnacentral:rRNA from 1 species
AACGAACGCUGGCGGCACGUUUUAAGCAUGCAAGUCGAAUGGCAGUGGGGGCAACCCCAUGAGAAUGGCGAACGGGUGAGUAACACGUAGGGGUUCUGCCUGACGGAUGGGGAUAGCUUGUGGAAACACAGGGUAAUACCUAAUGAGCUGACGAGACUUUGGUGUUGUUAGGAAAGGUGCUAAGGCACCGCCGACAGAGGAGCCUGCGGCUGAUUAGCUAGUUGGUGGGGUAAAGGCCUACCAAGGCGACGAUCAGUAGCAGGCCUGAGAGGGUGUACGGCCACACUGGAACUGAGACACGGUCCAGACUCCUACGGGAGGCAGCAGCUAAGAAUCUUCCGCAAUGGGCGAAAGCCUGACGGAGCGAUGCCGCGUGAUCGAUGAAGGUCGAGAGAUUGUAAAGAUCUUUUCUACAUGAGGAAUAAGUCUGGGAGGGAAUGCCUGGAUGAUGACGUUAGUGUAGGAAUAAGCCCCGGCUAAUUACGUGCCAGCCGCCGCCGUAA